UACGUAGGGUGCGAGCGUUGUUCGGAAUUAUUGGGCGUAAAGAGCUCGUAGGCGGUGUGUCACGUCGGCCGUGAAAACCUGGGGCUUAACUCUGGGCGUGCGGUCGAUACGGGCAUCACUAGAGUUCGGCAGGGGAGACUGGAAUUUACGGUGUAGCAGUGAAAUGCGUAGAGAUCGUAAGGAAGACCAGUGGCGAAGGCGGGUCUCUGGACAGUUCCUGACACUGAGGCACGAAGGCCAGGGGAGCAAACGGG
rnacentral:rRNA from 1 species